UUCAGCAACCCAAUGAGUUUUUCCUUCAGAAAGGCACUUCUCUGGGACCUUAAGAGAAGGAAUACAACAACAUUUGCAUGGAUUCAUCUUGCAAAAGAGACCAAAUGCAUCCCCACCUUUGCAGCCAUAAGGUCACUUCUGGGUUUGACAUCAAGAGCAUUAGUCUGCACAACUGCAUCUACUCUCAAAACUUGUGGGGCUGGGAGUGGAGUCCCAUACCUGUAGUGCUGAGUUCUGAGUAUGUUAAACCCUUUCUGGCACUAUCAAAGUAACAUUUUAUGCUUUGUACAUUUCCAGUCCUGCUGAAAAACUGCUGUUCCUGACUUGAAGCCAAAUCUGAACUUUCUUUUUAACAGCUGGCUACCCUUGUGACUAACCACUCAGGAGUGCUAUUAUUGUCUUCAGUGCCAGACUCCUACAACAUGCAGAUAGAAGCGGUUUUUAUUUCCUUCAGUUCCUGCUAAACUGACAUGCAUUCCACUCUCCUGACUGAGGCCUUUUCAAGUGGUAAUUUCUUUAACAGCAAAGAAAAAUCAAUUCAAAUUAAGAUAGGAGUGUGAGACCAAACUUUCUCAUCAAGUACUGCAAGCAAUAAAUCAUUAAAAAGUUAAUAACCUUAAAUAGCGUGAUAUUUGAUGAUCACCACAGUGGCAUUAUAUUUAAAAAUGAGAUAGCAUAAUCUGUACUCAUAGUGCCAGCCUUCAUGUUUUGUCUUAGCCUAACCUUGAAACACCUGAGAUGUCUCCAGCAUCUGCCUGACUGCCUACCUGUCUUCCUGGGCUUUAGGCAGGCCUCUCUGUUGGAGCAGAGAGGAGCUCUGUUUAAUCUGCUGCUCCAGAAAAUCCUCAAACCUCCUCGACACACAGAUCACAGAUAGCAUGUGAUACACAAUGUGAAGUCUAUCAUGUAAGUUAAACAUCUUGUUUUACUGCUACUUCAUGACCACAUCAACUGUGCUAAACAAAUACAGUGAGGAAAGAAAUGGAUAACAAUCAGCAACAUGAAAUUGUUCGCAGUGCUGAAUACAAAUUUUGAAUGAAUCACCACAGAAACUAAAUUUAAAGGACAUGAAUUCCACAGAUUUUAAAUAACCAUUCUGAGAUAUCCAAAUAAGUAUGGGAUUCACUGGAACAUAGGUCAGAAAAGGUCUCCAAGUGCAGCUAUCAAGCAUAAACAUGAAGUUCUUCCUAACUAGCACACACAAAGGUCAGAGUGAGCAAGGGCCUCUUAUCUUUUUGAGAAAAAGUUCUUGUAUCUUUUUGAAGUGGGAAGAUUUACAUCAGCUGAAGUGAAAAAGACAAGCUGUACAGAAUAUAGACAGUUUCAACACUGUCAUGCUUCUGAUACACCUCUGUUACAAGGGCCUAUGUGACCUGAAGAUUUCUCUGAAAUAAACCACGCAGUAUGUUUAUGUAUACAA